rnacentral:rRNA from 1 species
CGGAUUUUGGCGUGGCCCGUGCUGUGCGCGUAAUGCGUGCGGCGCUGGGGCGCGCUUUUGUGGAGGGCGGCGCGUUGUGGCUUCACUGUCGCGGCGUGUCGGCGCCACCGUUUACUGUGAAAAAA